UUAAGGUUUCUCUUUCUCCGUCGACUCCAUUGAAACUCGUUUACAACUCAAUUCUAUUAGGGUUUCUUCAUUUUCUCUCUACCUACUGCUUCUCUGUUCUUUCUAUGAUGAUUUAAUGAAGCCGUCUCAAAUUCUAUUAUCACCUGAACAAUCAUCAGCUUCCUUCUCAAAUUCUAGGGUUUCCCCGAAUUCUUUCUCUCCCUCUUCGCAAUCGAUCCUAAAUCUCUUCAGAAACAAUUGGAAGCAGCCAAGCAACUAGGUUAGUUUUUCUCGAUCUAUGAUGUUCUAAACUUUGUUUCAUGAUUCGUCGUUUACCUUUCUCCUUCAACGUUCUUCAUAUCAAGCCUCCAAAUCAAGGGUUUGUUGAUCUUCGAUCUUUUUACUUCUUUGAGACACAAAUGUCGUCCACACCAAGUAACAUGAAUCCGUGCAAAUUUUGGGAGAUGGAGCAUAAAAUGUUCAGCAAGUGCCAAGUAUGCAAAGAG